rnacentral:rRNA from 1 species
GUCCACGCCGUAAACGAUGAAUGCCAGCCGUUGGGGUGCAUGCACUUCAGUGGCGCAGCUAACGCUUUAAGCAUUCCGCCUGGGGAGUACGGUCGCAAGAUUAAAACUCAAAGGAAUUGACGGGGGCCCCGCACAAGCGGUGGAGCAUGUGGUUUAAUUCGAAGCAACGCGCAGAACCUUACCAGCUUUUGACAUGUCCGGUUUGAGGAACAGAGAUGUACCUCUUCAGUUCGGCUGGCCGGAACACAGGUGCUGCAUGGCUGUCGU